CUCCCAACCCUUGUACCAGUGCUGCGCCUCAGACCCUGGUACAGGUCUGGGGGACAGGGACCUGGGGACCCCAGCAGCGGCAGCUCCAGCUCCAGCCGUAGGACUUUCUCCCAGACACAAGCACUCUGAAGUGGGAGACAGGGGUUCCAGAAGCAGACUGUGAUUCUCAAGGUGGAGAAGCUAGGUGUCCUCACCUACAAGGCCCCCGGUUACCCAGGAUGAGGCCCGAAAAUCAUCAUCUGUUGAGCCCUGAGUUUUAAGGACGAAAGCGCUAAGGAGCCCAUUACUGUGUAGAACCAACGACUUCGGAAACGCCUAUCGGACGAAGGCACACGCAGGCCCCUCCAGCUAAUUCGUAAGACAAUGAAGACCCCCAAGAAGCUCUACACUGCAGCGCGAGGCCCACAGACUCGGCGCCAGCCCACAGCUCGAACCUGAAUG